rnacentral:rRNA from 1 species
GACGAACGCUGGCGGCGUGCCUAACACAUGCAAGUCGAACGGAACUUCUUUAAAGGAUUUCUUCGGAAUGAAUUUGAUUAAGUUUAGUGGCGGACGGGUGAGUAACGCGUGAGUAACCUGCCUCUAAGAGGGGAAUAACAUUCUGAAAAGAAUGCUAAUACCGCAUAACAUAUAUUUAUCGCAUGGUAGAUAUAUCAAAGAUUUAUCGCUUAGAGAUGGACUCGCGUCCGAUUAGUUAGUUGGUGAGGUAACGGCUCACCAAGACCGCGAUCGGUAGCCGGACUGAGAGGUUGAACGGCCACAUUGGGACUGAGACACGGCCCAGACUCCUACGGGAGGCAGCAGUGGGGGAUAUUGCGCAAUGGGGGAAACCCUGACGCAGCAACGCCGCGUGAAGGAUGAAGGUCUUCGGAUUGUAAACUUCUUUUAUUAAGGACGAAGAAAGUGACGG